rnacentral:rRNA from 1 species
CAAAGGCUUGGUCCUGACUUUACUAUCAACUUUAGCCAAAUUUACACAUGCAAGUAUCCGCCCCCCUGUGAGAAUGCCCUAACAGUCCCCUGCCCGGGGAUAAGGAGCUGGUAUCAGGCACACUUUAUACGAGCCCACGACACCUUGCAUAGCCACACCCCCACGGGAAUUCAGCAGUGAUAGACAUUAAGCUAUAAGUGAAAACUUGACUUAGUCAAGGCUAAGAGGGCCGGUAAAACUCGUGCCAGCCACCGCGGUUAUACGAGAGGCCCAAGUUGAUAAUCACCAGCGUAAAGCGUGGUUAAGGGAAGAUAAAAACUAAAGCCGAACGCCCUCAGUUAACUGUUAUACGAUAUACCGAAGGUAAGAAGCCCAUCCACGAAAGUGACUUUAACAAUAUCCUGAACCCACGAAAGCUACGACACAAACUGGGAUUAGAUACCCCACUAUG